ACUAUGGGUUGAGGAGCAAUUGGAAGUUUGUCGGCUUAGACCUGGUGUCAUUCCAUAAGUGUUAAACUUCCCGGCUCAUCUUGGAAGAGUACGUGCCAGAAAGACCACGACCAAGCAGCCUUGAGAUCUUAGGCAGCGUCUCCCUGAGGUCCCUCUCUGUCUCCCCACACAUCCACCAACCACUGGAACACAUCUCCAAAGUUCUGCCGGACCAGCUCAGCUUCCCCUCAGAAGAAGUCACCUGCCAGAUGAAGGAGCCUUUUGAGAGGCAGCUGGCAUCGUGAUUGGACUGUACUUUGGUCUGUUCCAAUCCAGCUUCAGCUCCAGAGACGGCAGGCGGGACGAGUCAACGGAGGCCUGGUGGACGAAGGCAUGAAGCUGAGUACAAUCCAGAAAACAACAGAGGAGGAGUGCAGCGGCCCAGAGCCAGAACAAACAGAGUAUGUCUCUUAGAAAACAUCAUAGUAUAGCCUUUGGUAUGAAAAAACGCCAUCAUAUACAUCGUAUAUUGUACAAAUAACAAGUCAAAGGAAAGAGACAUACAUUGUAGAAUUGUAGUAAUUGUGGGCUGACUGAUUUACUGAUUAUCAGUAUUUUAUUUUUUACUGAUUUAUGGUAAUAAAUACAUUUAAAAAUGG